UCUGGCCUUAGAAGCACUUCAGGUGUGGCUACUGCUGUGUCACAAGUUUCUCAGCAGUUGACAGAGAAGUGAGAAGCUAGGUCUAUGCUGAACAUUACAUCUAUGAACAUCUGAAUGAUUGGUAGUCUAACAGA
ensembl:snoRNA LOC120096829 small nucleolar RNA SNORA17